AUACCUUUCUCGGCCUUUUGGCUAAGAUCAAGUGUAGUAUCUGUUCUUAUCAGUUUAAUAUCUGAUACGUGGGCCAUGUGCCCACCUCGAUAUUAAAUUAAUUUUUCAGUGGGGGAGGGCCCAUCGACAGUAGCUUGCUACUGGGGCUCUCGUGCGUCGCCCUCGCGUUGCACUACUGCGUGGGCCUGGCGCACCCCUA
rnacentral:snRNA from 1 species